UAUUUUCAUUAUUCUUCAUUUAUAUAUAUCAUUUACUUCAUAAAUUCUUCAUUUUCUAACCCUUACCUACUUGGUGGGUAGUUUUUCGCAACUUUAUAUCCUUGCAUUUGCUUCCGGUCCUUUUGCACGUCCUUAGUCGUGAGAAGGUUUGUUCCAAAAAGACAAAAUGGAUACUUGUGCACUUAAAAAAAAUCUUCUACAUCUUGCAUCCCUAAAUUCCUGUCUGAUCUGAUAUACUCAGUCUAGGUGAGAUCCAGUUAGUUUCAAAACACGAAAUGGGUAUGCUAAUAUUUUCUAAUUUUCAUUUUGUACCUUUUUCUUGACAAGAGUUGGUUUUUAUUGUCUAAAUUGUCUUUAAUUGUAUUUUAUUAUAAAAUAUUUAUACUAAAAUUCGACCGAUAUUUAAAAAAUUAAAAUAAAAAAGUCGGUAUCAAAAAAAUUCAGCAUUCAAUAUUGAAAAAAAAAUCGAAAGAAAGUGUUAAUAAAAAUAGACCAUAUUCUGU
rnacentral:lncRNA from 1 species